CCAUGCUUCCAAGAAAAGCCUCUAAGCUUCAGUUACAAAGAGACCGUACCGCAAACCGACACAGGUGGGCAGGAUGAGAAUUCUAAGGCGCUUGAGAGAACUCGGGAGAAGGAACUCGGCAAAUUAGCACCGUAACUUCGGGAUAAGGUGCGCCCUUGUAAGUUGUAGCCCCUCGCGGGCGAAGGCUGAAAGGGUUGCAGUGAAAUGGUGGCUGCGACUGUUUAAUAAAAACACAGCACUCUGCAAACACGAAAGUGGACGUAUAGGGUGUGACGCCUGCCCGGUGCCGGAAGGUUAAGUGAUGGGGUGCAAGCUCUUGAUCGAAGCCCCGGUAAACGGCGGCCGUAACGAUAACGGUCCUAAGGUAGCGAAAUUCCUUGUCGGGUAAGUUCCGACCUGCACGAAUGGCGUAACGAUGGCCACACUGUCUCCUCCCGAGACUCAGCGAAGUUGAAAUGUUUGUGAAGAUGCAAUCUCCCCGCGGCUAGACGGAAAGACCCCAUGAACCUUUACUGUAGCUUUGCAUUGGACUUUGAACCGGUCUGUGUAGGAUAGGUGGGAGGCUUUGAAGCCCGGUCGCUAGAUCGGGUGGAGCCAACCUUGAAAUACCACCCUGAUUUGUUUGAGGUUCUAACCAUGGCCUGUGAAUCCAGGUCUGGGACCGUGCAUGGUAGGCAGUUUGACUGGGGCGGUCUCCUCCCAAAGUGUAACGGAGGAGUACGAAGGUACGCUAGGUACGGUCGGACAUCGUGCUAAUAGUGCAAUGGCAUAAGCGUGCUUGACUGCGAGUCCCACAAGACGAGCAGGUACGAAAGUAGGUCAUAGUGAUCCGGUGGUUCUGUAUGGAAGGGCCAUCGCUCAACGGAUAAAAGGUACUCUGGGGAUAACAGGCUGAUACCGCCCAAGAGUUCAUAUCGACGGCGGUGUUUGGCACCUCGAUGUCGGCUCAUCACAUCCUGGGGCUGUAGCCGGUCCCAAGGGUAUGGCUGUUCGCCAUUUAAAGUGGUACGUGAGCUGGGUUUAAAACGUCGUGAGACAGUUUGGUCCCUAUCUGCCGUGGGCGCUGGAAAUUUGAGGGGACCUGCUCCUAGUACGAGAGGACCGGAGUGGACAAACCUCUGGUGUACCGGUUAUGACGCCAGUCGUAUCGCCGGGUAGCUAUGUUUGGAAGAGAUAAACGCUGAAAGCAUCUAAGCGUGAAACUCGCCUCAAGAUAAGAUUUCCCUGGGGACUCGAUCCCCCUGAAGGGUCGUUGAAGACCACAACGUUGAUAGGUCAGGUGUGGAAGCGCAGUAAUGCGUUAAGCUAACUGAUACUAAUUGCCCGUGUGGCUUGAU
rnacentral:rRNA from 1 species